AUCGAACGCUGGCGGCAGGCCUAACACAUGCAAGUCGAACGAGUGGCGGACGGGAGAGUAAUGUAUGGGAAAUUGCCCGAUGGAGGGGGAUAACUACUGGAAACGGUAGCUAAUACCGCAUACCAUUGAAUGAGCCCAGAUGGGAUUAGCUAGUAGGUGGGGUAACGGCUCACCUAGGCGAAAAUCCCUAGCUGGUCUGAGAGGUGGACCAGACACACGGGAACUGAGACACGGACCAGACUCCUACGGGAGGCAGCAGUGGGGAAUAUUGCGCAAUGGGCGCAAGCCUGAUGCAGCAAUGCCGCGUGUAUGAAGAAGGCCUUCGGGUUGUAAAGCACUUUCAUAGGGGAGGCGUUACUCGAAGAAGAAGCACCGGCUAACUCCGUGCCAGCAGCCGCGGUAAUUC
rnacentral:rRNA from 1 species